UCGACUUCGACACACUCAGACACCCUCUCUCUCUCUCUCUCUCUCUCUCUCUCUCGCUAUUCGCAGUGGUCUCUCGCCAUCAAAAACAUCGGUUCUCUCUAAGGCUUCCGCCGAUAAUUUUUUCUACCUGUGAUAUCUGAUCUACGGUUCUCUCAAAGUGUUGAUCAAUCUGAUCGAACCAACAGUCACAUUGGUGUGGCAACUUGCUUGAACUUGAACUGGGAUCCCUGAAAAGGAAAGAGAAGAUGAAUUGAUCUGGAGACCUGAUCCAAAAGGCAACUUCUGGAGAUCUGAUCCAAAAGGCAACUUCUGGAGAUCUGAUCCAAAAGGCAACUUCUCCAUCAAGACUGCAUAUAGGUUGCAAGCUCUUUCUGGUGAAGAGUCCACGAGGACUCAUCAUGAGGUUAUGAAAAUCUGGACUUAAAUUGUCCCCUUCACAAUAGAAUUUCCUCUAAAGUAUUCUUAAAAAGAAGGGGCCUGAAUUUAGACGAAGGCUGUGAUUUCUGUGGAGAGACUGAAGACAUCAAUCACAUAUUCUUAAGAUGCAAUUUUUCCAAUCAGGUGUGGAGCAUUCUGGGAGAUCCAAGAGUUAUACCCUCUUUAGAAGACCAAACAAUAUUUGACUGGUGGAACUGUAGAGAAGAUAAAGGGUAGUUUUGUAAUUUUAUUGUAUUUUUAUUCUUCUUUCUUGUACUACAAUAGGUGUGCACAUUAGUGUAAAGCUCUUUUAUUUCUUUGUAAGGACAAUCUUGUCCAUUCACUUGAGUUUAAUAUAAAUACCUCUCUUUUGGGUUGGUUCGAUCAUAUUGAUCAACCUAACAGAUCUGAA